rnacentral:rRNA from 1 species
ACUGCUCUCAAGUACCAUGAGGGAAAGAUGAAAAGGACUUUGAAAAGAGAGUUAAAAGUGCCUGAACUCGCUGAAAGGAAAGCGGAUGGAACCAGUCGUGCUUGGCGAGAUUGUUGCGUGCAAAGGUGACUGCUCACUGCUCGUAGCGUAAGCGCAGCAGCGGGUUUCGAUCUGGUCGCGCGCGAUGCUUCUUGCCUUGUUCGUCAUCGUUGGUUUGGAGGCGCGGACAACUCUUGGGACAUGGUAACUCGCCCACGGGCGAGCGAAUGUGCCUUGCAGAACUCACCUCCAAACUGAUGUCUCGUGUUAGGUUCUGUUGCCGUACGCGGCACGUUCUUGACAAAGCGUGGUGACAGAAUGGUUCUAUUCGACCCGUCUUGAAACACGGACCAAGGAGUCCACACACGUGUGCGAGUACGUGCCGUGAAACGGUAUGUGCGGAAUGAAAGUGACAGUUACAAUUUACGUUUGUAGUAACAACCGACUUCGCUCCACGGAAAGAGGUUUGAGUGGGAGCACACCU